AUUUAUAUAGUUUAAAAACAUUUAAAAACACUACACUUUCACUGUAGAAAUAAAGGAAACUUUUAUAAAUA
rnacentral:tRNA from 1 species